UACAGAGGUCUCAAGCGUUGUUCGGAUUCAUUGGGCGUAAAGGGUGCGUAGGUGGCGCGCUAAGUCAGGUGUGAAAUUUCGGAGCUUAACUCCGAAACUGCAUUUGAUACUGGCGUGCUUGAGGACUGGAGAGGAGACUGGAAUUCAUGGUGUAGCAGUGAAAUGCGUAGAGAUCAUGAGGAAGACCAGUGGCGAAGGCGGGUCUCUGGACAGUUCCUGACACUGAGGCACGAAGGCCAGGGGAGCAAAACGGG
rnacentral:rRNA from 1 species